UAGAGAGNUAGGGAUUGAACCUACAAUUGAGAGAUCAAAA
rnacentral:tRNA from 1 species